UACGUAGGGGGCAAGCGUUGUCCGGAUUUAUUGGGCGUAAAGAGCGUGUAGGCGGCCACACAGGUCAGCUGUGAAAACUCGAGGCUCAACCUCGAGACGUCGGUUGAAACCGUAUGGCUAGAGUCCGGAAGAGGAGAGUGGAAUUCCCGGUGUAGCGGUGAAAUGCGCAGAUAUCGGGGAAGAACACCUAUGGCGAAGGCAGCUCGCUGGGACGGUACUGACGCUGAGACGCGAAAGCGUGGGGAGCAAACAGG
rnacentral:rRNA from 1 species